GCCGAUGUAGCUUAAACGGUAGAGCAGUCCCUUCGUAAGGGAAAGGUUGUCAGUUCAAUUCUGACCAUCGGCUCCA
rnacentral:tRNA from 1 species